rnacentral:rRNA from 1 species
UGAACGACUCUCGGCAACGGAUAUCUCGGCUCUUGCAUCGAUGAAGAACGUAGCGAAAUGCGAUACUUGGUGUGAAUUGCAGAAUCCCGUGAACCAUCGAGUCUUUGAACGCAAGUUGCGCCCGAGGCCUUCUGGUCGAGGGCACGUCUGCCUGGGCAUCACGC